rnacentral:rRNA from 1 species
UACGUAGGUGGCAAGCGUUGUCCGGAAUUAUUGGGCGUAAAGCGCGCGCAGGCGGUCCUUUAAGUCUGAUGUGAAAGCCCACGGCUCAACCGUGGAGGGUCAUUGGAAACUGGGGGACUUGAGUACAGAAGAGAAGAGUGGAAUUCCACGUGUAGCGGUGAAAUGCGUAGAGAUGUGGAGGAACACCAGUGGCGAAGGCGACUCUUUGGUCUAUAACUGACGCUGAGGCGCGAAAGCGUGGGGAGCAAACAGG